rnacentral:rRNA from 1 species
UCUACGGCCAUACCACCCUGAACACGCCCGAUCUUGUCUGAUCUCGGAAGCUAAGCAGGGUCAGGCCUGGUUAGUACUUGGAUGGGAGAAAGGUAAAAUCCAUAUGAAAAUAUAAAAUACAGGAAGAA